UGAUCUUCACCAUUGGGAGAGCUCAUU
rnacentral:piRNA from 1 species